GACGUAGGGCGCGAGCGUUGUCCGGAUUUAUUGGGCGUAAAGAGUGUGUAGGCGGUGCUCCAAGUCUGGUGUGAAAUCUCCCGGCUUAACUGGGAGGGUGCAUUAGAAACUGGAAUGCUAGAGGAUGGGAGAGGUAAGCGGAAUUCCUGGUGUAGCGGUGAAAUGCGUAGAUAUCAGGAGGAACACCUGUGGUGUAGACAGCUUACUGGACCAUUUCUGACGCUGAGACACGAAAGCGUGGGUAGCAAACAGG
rnacentral:rRNA from 1 species